CAGUCUCUGGCAACACAGCAGACACAAUGCAAAACUCAGAGGCGAGUGUCUUUGCUAGGGUGUUUUAAACGUCUUAGCAGGAUGUGAACCCAGGUGGUUAACGGCCAAUUUGGCUGGAGCAAAUUCUUCUCACCAGAGUGGGCUCAGCAUAUGAGGAGAGGGCUGGGAGGUGGGCUCAGGGACUGUGGAUGGUGCCGAAGGGUGAAAGAGCUGGAGUGCCGGCUCUCUGGCUCCAUGAGCUCC